GGCUGCUUGAGUUCAAUAACCUAAAAAUGAAAAACCUCUGGACCAUUCCAAUACAGGUUAUUCAAAGGAGCUGUGAUAAAGAGCAUAUAGCAAAUGCACUCAGUUAUAUGCAGUAGGUGAGGAACUGAAGUCCAGAGGGGUUUCUUGAACUGCCCAAGGACACACUACUAUUUAGUGAUACAAGCUGGGACUAAAACUGAGGUCCCCCGACACCUGGUCCAGAGUUCUUUCUACUAUACAUCAAAGAAUAUACAAAUAAAAGUUUAUCAUAACUAACCCAAAA
rnacentral:sRNA from 1 species